AAAAAAAAAAAAAAAAAGGUCUCCCUUUCGGCUUUCCUUGAGCUUUCAACGGACAGAAAAAGCCAGACAAAAGAAAUUUUGGGUGCCCGAGGCUCCUGACUCUCCAUUUUUCUUCGGCUACCAACACAUUCUCUCCUUCAUUAAGGUACUUAUUUAUUUUUUAUUUUUUUUUUCUUUUUCCAGCUUUCCUUUCCUCAAUUAAUCAGAUUAAAUUCAUGCUGCCGUUUAUUUAUCCCUUGCUUUCGUUUGUUGUUGUUACUACUGAUAUUGUUGAAGUUUUGGGGUAAAGCCAUGAAUAAACAUUAAGAAAAAGAUGAUUUCUGUGAAUGCAUGUUAGAUGUUUGUAAAAAUGCAAAAAAUGGAAAACGAAUUAAAAGCUGAAUAUUGUGCAUGUUUUUCUUGUCAAAAUAGAUAACCGUUUGAUAGUGUAGGUCUGAAAAUAUUGGAAUUAUCUAAAAAUUUUGGAGUUUUUGAGCUUUAAAGGCAUUGAAGUAGUUUUCUUCGUUUAGGGGCUGCUUUUGCUUUAAUUUAGCCAUUUUAUGUUGUUUUCUUGUCAAAUUAAAAUCAUAAUUAUAUUAUAGAAGUUGUAAGAGUCUGUAGUAUAAUUUUUAUGAUUUUUGGUGAAAGAUAAGGUGAUUUGAAAAAUAAAAACCGCGGCUGUUUUUUGGCAUUUUGGCCACAUUCAGGUCAUCUUUUGUAAAAAUUAACUCCAGAAAUGGAAUCUACGCGAAAAAUGAAGUGAGGGGGUGUAUUUUAGCAAUUUUUGGCGACCGGAAAAUUCGCCGGUGGCCAGCGGCGGCACCGUCGGCAGCUACCAUGGCCACCAGCUGAAGAAGGCUUCCGAAGAAGAAGAGAAAGAAAUGGUUGUGAAGUGGAGGAAGAAGGAAGAAAAGAAAAAAAGGAAAGAAAAGAAAGAAAAAUGAUAGGUUGGGCUAAUUUUUAUUUAUUUUGUGGGCUUGUUUCUUAUUUUCGGUUGGGCUAGAAGGUCAAACCCAAGUUUUAUUUUGGUUGGAUUUGAGUGAUAAAAGACGGGUUGGCCUGUGUGUUUUGGCUUGGACUUUUGGCUGGGCUUAGGUAGUAUCUGGCCCAAGCGCCUGUUGGGUUAGGAAAACCAGAAAUGAAUAUGCUCUUUCGUCCCUGUACUUUUACUUUAUUGUAUUGUGACCCUAAAUACUUUAAAUUUCUUUCAAUUAGGUCCUUAAUUAAUUACAAAUAGGUCCUUAAACUUUAUUUUCCUUUAAUUUGGACCCCUAAUUUUUGUAGUAAUUAUAAUUUAACCCUGAAACUUUAUUAAUCUUUGUAAUUAGGUCCCUGAUAGAUUUGAUUUCUUAAAUAGAAGUUGCUUUUCUUCUUAGAUUAUUAAUUAUAUUCCAUUUGAAUGAUUUAAUUGAUUGAUUUCAUAUUUAUUUUCAUUUUUUAUGAUUUAUUUGUUAAUUAAAUUGGUGCCUUAAUGAUUCUGUUAAUUUUGGAGUUAAAUAGGGCAAAUCCCAUUCCUCAUUAGCUACUACGUCAAGGGAGGUUUCUUCUUGUGUCAUUUUAAAUUCUCCUAUGUGCUCCUAUGUGAUUUUAUGUGUGUAAUUGCAUGUUUUUGAAUGUUUUUAUUUUAUUUUAUUUAGUUAUUCAUUUUAUUUGUUUUUUUAAUUUUGUAUAUUUAUUUUAAUUUAAUUUUUUAUUAUUUGAGAGGCAUUUAAAUGCCAAAUUGUAAUCGUUAGAUUAUUAUUUUAUUUUUCGCCCUUUUAGAUUGUAGUUAGGACCCCCGAAUAUAAUAGUUAGGUUUCUAUUUACUUUUAUUUAUUUGUGUGCUUGCAUGCUUGUGUGAUUACGUGUUUACUCGCUCCUUUAGGAUAUUUGCAUCUAGAUAUUAUGCUCACGUGUUAUGUGCUACGUGCUCUUAUAUGUUUAUUUGUUUUAAUUUAUGUAUUAUUUAUUUUACUAUGUAUUAUUAAUGCAUGGCGUCACCACACUAGUCCAACGCUAGUUGUAGUUUCUCCCUCCGUAUGCUUGCUAGUUCAACGCUAGUAAGGUUCUUUAGAAAUGGGUUAGUCCAACGCUAGACCCUUAUAUUGUUCAUGUAUUAGAUUCAUUUGUGUGAUAUUCAUUACAUUUUCAUGCAUAUUUUUAUUCUAGGAUCUUUUCUCAUUUGCAUGAUAUUUUCUAUUAUAUUAUCCUCUAUCCCCUACCCUCUACAUGUGUUAAUCAUAUCAUUUAGAAUUGCAUUUCAUUUAAGAAAUUGUGGAAUAAGUUAGUUCAUUUGCUUGUUCAUAUUAGGAGAAUUAUUCUUUAAAUAUGGAUAUGGGUGAUUAUAACUAUUUAGUUUAAAUACCCCAUUAAUCUUUGUAUAAGAAAAUUAUGUCACGAGUUUUCGCCUCCCGUACCCAUUAUGUUGCAUUCCCUAUUCUUUGAUCACUUAUAUCUAUGUAUACAAUUUAAUUUUCUUUUCUUUUUCAUUAAAUUUCAUCAUUCGUAUAUUCGUGACCCCUUCAAGGAAUUAUUUUUGACAUUCGCAAUUAAUACGAUUGGUAUCAAUUAAACCCUUGAAUGGACAUUUUGUCCCUCUCGAUAUUUUUAUUUGCAUCCAUGUAGGAAACAUCCAAAUGUGAUAAAUUUAAGGGUUAGAUUAAGAAAAUUUUGACUAAACCACGCAACUAGCUUAGACUAGGUUGAAAGGGUGCCUUAGAUUUGAGAUAAUCAAACCUUUGCAUUCCCUUUUUUCAACUGACUCCCGAACUCAUUUUCUCUGUUUUCAAAGACCUGGAGUUGUCGAAAAGAGUUUUAUUUUAUUUUAUUUAAAAAUAUUUUUGGGUGACUUGGUACACCAAAACUCAAUACCAAGUGGCGACUCCUAUUUUUUCUUAAAAACACUUUUUAGACUAAAUUUUGGACCCAAACUGUCGCAUUCUUUAAAGUCCCAUUUUAGGUCCUUUUUCACUUAUUUUUGAAUAAAAUCACAUUUUUAUAAACACCACCUCUUAUUUUCUCAUCGCGAAAAAUGGGACGCGACAAACAUCUCCUAGGCCUAAACCUAGAGUUGAACCAUCUCAUGAGUCAUUUUGAGAAGUAUAUCAACGUCUAUUAUGCCAAAAACAAAUGGAAUCAAAUAAAUGCCAUCAAAGUGAGUCUUCUAAGGAGGAAGUAAUUGAAUCCAUUCCUAACGAAGGAGUAUCUCAUUCCAUUGGACCAUUUGUUGAGGAGGUUGACAAAGAGUUGAAGCCGAGCAACGAACAAGCGCUUGAAAAUCUUGGAGUUACAUCGACAUUAGAGUCUAGUCAUGAACUCGUUGGGAAAGUUUGUGAGAAAAUUGUUGUAACCCAUGAGAGUGAGAAUAGUGUUGUAGAGCUUGAAUAUGAGGUAACAACCGAGGGCAUUAAGCUAGAAAACAAGAUGGGAGAAUCUGAUGAGAGGAUGAAAAUAGCUCUUAUGUGUUCGGCCAAGGGAAUAAGCAAAGCUAGGAAACAUGGCUUGUUUACUAACUUAUUUGCUCCUAAUUUCCUUCCUUUUUCUCAGGUUAAGCAAGGCCAAAUGGAGAUAACCAUACAAUGUUCUAUCCCAAAGUCGCUUGUACAAUUUACUGGGUUCCAUGGAGUUUGUCUUCUAGGAGUUAAAUCAAUAUGGUAUCCUUUCAUGGAAUUGGUUAAGUUCAAAUCUGUUAGUACCUUCGGUGAGUCAAUCUAUGUUCAUCAUGACGGGAAGACUCCAAAUUCUAGUUCUAGUUUUUUAACUAUGGUUCAUUCAUCAUCUUUACCUUGUUUUGAGCAUGUUUCUAGUCAUAAUUUUUGCUUUUCUUUUGCCAAUUUUCAAGGGAAGUUUGAUGAGCCAGCUAUGAAUAAUCUAGUGGAAUUUGAUGCCUAUGUUUUUGCACCUUGUCUUUGUGACAAAGUGUAGCUGAAUUUUGUGAUCAUUCAAGUCGUUUCUAAGGGUUUAUUUGCAGUUGAAAUUCAUGAGUUUUCGUGUUUGUUUCAGCCUAUUGAAUCUCAUUUUUAGGAAUAUACAUUCCAUCGCUAUGAAGAUCCCUAUCUAAUGGGUGCUAAUGGUAAGUAUUCAGGUGGUUUUAUAUCUAAGCUUGCUGAUAAAAAAUUUUCUUGUGUAGGUUCUUCCUUGGUAGCUAAUUUUGAGCCAAGGAGUAUGCUGUCAAUUAGAUCAUGCUUCGCGUUGUUGCUCGUAUGGAUUUUGCAGUUAUCUGAGAGACACAUUGCUUGGAUCUUUUUCGUGAAGAUUGACAUUGUGUUGUCUCUUUCUUCCCAUACCUUCGAUUUGAGACAAAUCACCUUCAAAAGGAGGAGAAUGAUAAAGGGCUCAAGGUUGUGCAAACUCCACAUGCUCAAGUUGUUCAAGUUCCAAGUGGUCCGAUCAUGAGGUCUCGUGCAAGAAAGCUUAGAGAUUCAUUACAAGCACUUGUUUGUUCUAUUAAAGAUUGCAUUGGUGAAGAUAUGCGAACCAUCGAAGACUUUCAACUUAAAGAGUUUCUAUGUGUUACUUUGCUCCAGUUUGUUGUCUCAAAUGAAGAGUAGUUUAGUUAGUUAUUUUUUUUACUUAGUUGAGUCAUUUGAGCAAGGGUUUAAAUGUCAAUUCCGUUGAUGAUUUUAGUCAUUUAUUUAGAGCUCAAAUUCAGCCAGAAUUUGUCUUCUUUUAGCCGAAUUAAUUAGUCAUUAGUUUAGUGAAUUAGUGAAUCCAAUUCACAUUAGGGUUUAUAGUCAUGUAUGGCAAUAAAUAGCCUAUUUUUUUCCAAGGGUGAAUGAGAAUUUUCCAGAAUUAUUGUGAGC
rnacentral:lncRNA from 1 species